rnacentral:rRNA from 1 species
AGCGAACGCUGGCGGCAGGCCUAACACAUGCAAGUCGAACGAAGUCUUCGGACUUAGUGGCGGACGGGUGAGUAACACGUGGGAACGUGCCUUUAGGUUCGGAAUAACUCAGGGAAACUUGUGCUAAUACCGAAUGUGCCCUUCGGGGGAAAGAUUUAUCGCCUUUAGAGCGGCCCGCGUCUGAUUAGCUAGUUGGUGAGGUAAAGGCUCACCAAGGCUACGAUCAGUAGCUGGUCUGAGAGGAUGACCAGCCACAUUGGGACUGAGACAUGGCCCAAACUCCGACGGGAGGCAGCAGUGGGGAAUCUUGCGCAAUGGGCGAAAGCCUGACGCAGCCAUGCCGCGUGGAUGAUGAAGGUCUUAGGAUUGUAAAAUCCUUUCACCGGUGAAGAUAAUGACUGUAGCCGGAGAAGAAGCCCCGGCUAACUUCGUGCCAGCAGCCGCGGUAACAC